rnacentral:lncRNA from 1 species
GAUGAUUCGAGUUAUCGAGGUUCCACUGUACAUGAAAAGUGGAAAUGAUAACAGAGGCCAUUAUUCAAAUGUUUUUCAUAGAACUGUUCCAAAUUUUUAAAUAUUUUAUGUAUAUUUAUUUAAAACUUAAGUGCUAUUUUAUUCUAUAUGGGAUAUAUUCUAACGAAUUUCAAUAUAAGACACAAUCAGCUGAAUUCAUUUUAUGAAAUAGUUUCAGUUUUUCACCCACAGAACUAGAAUAUGGGUGCCAAUCCUCAAAAUUUAUGAGUUAUGAUUCAACUAUUGGUUUUUCAUGAUCCAGUUUGUCUCUCCAAUGCCAAUUGGAUGGAUAUAGGAUUCCCUUAUAACAAAAUUUUGGAUUCAAUUCCAGAUCCAAUAUCCAUUUUUCUUAAGUGGUGUCUCAGCUUCUUGAACUAUAACUUUCAACUGAUAUUCUAUCUUACUAUGAAUAUGAGUGGCCCUUGGUUGGUAUUGGUAUGCUUUAUCAAUUUGCAGAAAUAUGGGUAAAUAGUAGGAUGGUUAAAUUAGUUUUGUUAGGCUUUCUUAUCCCACAUGUAAUAAAGUGUGUAACUGUUAUAUGGUAGCAGCCAGUUUUAGAGCAAUCAUAGAUUGUCUGUUAGUGAAGAUUGAAGGACUGGAUUUAACAAGUCAGACCUGUUCACUCUUGAAAAUCUGGACAUGUGGGAUCUGAAUUUGAGACUGGAAUCUUCAAAAUACUGUCCGUCCAGCUUAGCUGCGGCCAUUGAUGCAAGUACAUGUGCGCUAACUGAACGAGUCCGGUGACAAAAUAGGAAUGACAGCUUCACACAUGGAUGUUUUCAAAUGCAAGAUAACUGAAGUUGAAUGGAAGUUUAUUGUAAUGUCGAAUAUUAAAUGAUUAGUUUCAAUGUUGG